GCGUCUUGCCGUGGUGAUUUUGCCGGCCGGCUUGCAGCCACGUUAAACAACUCGCUAAAGGGCCGUUUCUCGAGUUCU
rfam:Aureimonas sp. AT20, complete genome.